CUGAGUCAGAACUCAGUUCAGAUGAGGAGAGUGCCCCUGCCCUAGACUCAGAUCAGUCUAACGAUUUGACCGACUUAGAUUCGAAGUAUGGAGCUGUUAAGUAGUGUAAUCCCUCCACUAAGAUACUUUCCACUGACAUGCCCAGUUCUGACUUAAACAAAGAGGGAAAAAUCCUUGACCCACAGGGUGAACCGUUGUUUGAACCCGAC